UGGUGAGUAUAGCUAUGGGGGUACACCUAGUUACAUUCCGAACCUAGAAGUUAAGCCCAUAUACGCUGAUGGUACUUGGCUGGAAGCGGCCUGGGAGAGUAUGAAUUUGCCAAGCA
rnacentral:rRNA from 1 species